rnacentral:rRNA from 1 species
AGAGUUUGAUCCUGGCUCAGAGCGAACGCUGGCGGCAGGCCUAACACAUGCAAGUCGAGCGGCCGUAGCAAUACGGCAGCGGCAGACGGGAGAGUAACACGUGGGAACGCGCCCUUCGGUUCGGGAUAACUCAGGGAAACUUGGGCUAAUACCGGAUACGCCCUUACGGGGAAAGAUUUAUUGCCGAAGGAACGGCCCGCGUCCGAUUAGCUUGUUGGUGAGGUAACGGCUCACCAAGGCGACGAUCCGUAGCUGGUCUGAGAGGAUGACCAGCCACACUGGGACUGAGACACGGCCCAGACUCCUACGGGAGGCAGCAGUGGGGAAUAUUGGACAAUGGGCGCAAGCCUGAUCCAGCCAUGCCGCGUGAGUGACGAAGGUCUUCGGAUUGUAAAGCUCUUUUGGCGGGGACGAUAAUGACGGUACCCGCAGAAUAAGCCCCGGCUAACUUCGUGCCAGCAGCCGCGGUAAU